rnacentral:pre_miRNA from 1 species
AAAGUACUCCCUCCGUCCCAAAAUUCUUGUCUUAGAUUUGUCUAGAUACAGAUGUAUCAAGUCACAUUUUAGUAUUAGAUACAUCCGUAUCUAGAAAAAUCUAAGACAAGAAAUUUGGGACAGAGGGAGUAGUUG